UGAGGAAUAUUGCUCAAUGGACGAAAGUCUGAAGCAGCAACGCCGCGUGAGGGAUGAAGGUGCUUUGCAUUGUAAACCUCUGUAGUCGGAGACAAACGACGGGUUACUACCCGUGUGAUGGUAUCCGAAAAGUAAGGAUCGGCUAACUACGUGCCAGCAGCCGCGGUAAUACGUAGGAUCCAAGCGUUGUCCGGAUUUACUGGGUGUAAAGGGUGCGCAGGCGGGCUUAUAAGUCAGAAGUGAAAUCUCGGCGCUCAACGCCGAAACGUCUUUUGAUACUAUGAGUCUUGAAUCAGCGAGAGACGUGUGGAAUUCCGAGUGUAGCAGUGAAAUGUGUAGAUAUUCGGAAGAACACCAGUGGCGAAGGCAGCACGUUGGCGCUCGAUUGACGCUCAGGCACGAAAGCAUGGGGAUCAAACAGGAUUAGAUACCCCUGUAGUCC
rnacentral:rRNA from 1 species